CUUCCCACAGCUGCCGGAGGGAGACGCCCCGCCACGUAGCCACGUGGAGCAGCCCCGCUGGAGCCGCAGGAAGUGGAGUUGCUGGGAUCUCUUCUUGUCCGCACCUCCUGCCGAGAGUGCCCUUUGUGAGAGCACUUCCUGGCCUAAUUAAGCAGGGCCCUCUGUGUUCAGAAAGGAUUCCAGGCCGUUCUAGGUGAUGGCGCAGCUCCACGAAACCAGAGCCGGGUGAAGGAUUGAGGUCCAGGCUGUAAUGCAGGCUGGGCCCAGAGGAUGAUGACAGCUUCGUCGUCAAAACCCAGGCGAGGGGGCUUCCCUGGUGGCGCAGUGGUUAAGAAUCCGCCUGCCAAUGCCGGGGACACGGGUUCGAGCCCUGGUCUGGGAAGAUCCCACAUGCCACGGAGCAGCUUAAACGUGCGGGCCACAACUACUGAGCCUGUGCUCUAGAGCCCAUGAGACACAACUACUGAAGCCCAUCGCCUAGAGCCCGCGCACCGCAACGAAGAGUAGCCCCCGCUCGCCUCAACUAGAGAAAGCCCGCGCGCAGCAACGAAGACCUAACGCAGCCAAAAAUAAUAAAUAAAUAAAUUAAAAAAUUUUUAAAAAGCCCAGGUUUGGGGAAAUGCGGUCACAUCUGAGCCUGACAGUCAGCCCAGCCGCCUGCCUGGCAAUGGUGUCAGAAAGGGAAACAGCGUGUCUGAUGGAAAGGGCUCCCUUCCCACCACUGUCCCUACACUGGGCCUUGCUCAGGGACACUCAGCUUCGCCUGCAUGGGCCGCCUUCCACCUCCCUCACCGGGCAGAAGACCACUGGCCCUGCUUCCAGACCCAGCAUGGAUGCCCCUGCCAGCCUCCAGCGUCAGGGCCAGAUGCCUCCCCAGAGUCCGCCCAGCCCCCCAGGGCUCCUGGGGAGGCCAGCUGAGCGGGAGCCCUGCCCUCACCUCCCGGUGCCCUGGGCCAGCGCAGAGCCCGGUGCCGAGAACCCAGUAAGUGUUUGCUGCUAACAAGCUUGUUGCACUUGAUCUUGUGCCACCGCCUCGCCAAGUCUCCUACACGUAUCCUCUCGUUUCACUCUGACAGUUAGGUGCUGACGUGGGGGCUGUCGUUACUCCCACUUUACACAUGAGGAGACUGAGAUUGGGGUCUGGCCUGAGGACACCUCCUGACUCGGGCCCCUGGAGGCUGUGAGGCAUUUUCUGUUUAUGGCCUUCUUCUGCGAUUCUUGUUCUCCGUAACCAGAUGGUGAGUCCUGGAAGGAGCAGGGAAACGCCGUGUCCACGGCGCUCCCCGUGGCGGGGGACCCUGUGGAGCAGCUUUGGUCGGUGGCAGAGGGGGCUUCACAGUGCCCUCGUCAGUGGUGGGCUUGACCGCAGUGGAGGCGUCCAUGGCCCAGGACUGCGGCCGCUCAGGCGCGGGGCUCCCCUCAGGCCACGGCCCCUUCGCCACAGAGCAGAGGGCGGAGCGGAGCUGCCUCCUAUCCCUGCCUCGUUUUCCGUUUACUAAAAACCUUCGCCUUGGGCUUCCCUGGUGGCGCAGUGGUUGAGAGUCCGCAUGCCGAUGCAGGGGACGCGGGUUCGUGCCCUGGUCCAGGAAGAUCCCACAUGCCACGGAGCGGCUGGGCCCGUGAGCCAUGGCCGCUGAGCCUGCGCGUCCGGAAGAGGCCACAACAGUGAGAGGCUCGCGUACGGCAAAAAAAAAAAACAACCUUCGCCUCUGUUCUGCAGACAAGGUGAGACCAAGGUCCCGACGUGGGCACCUCCCACCGGGGCAGCACCGGAGGUCCCGUGGGUGGCAGGCCCGCGUCCCGGCCCGCCGUCUCCUCCUCAACCACGUCUUCUUCCCAGGGCUUGUCCGAGCCGCUCGCCUCGCUGGAAGGUCGGGGAGCCACCUUCUGAACUUGCUGCUCCUUAUACCCCGGGCGGCCAAGCACCUCGGCCCAAAGCGGCGACUCUCAGCCAGGGGCACCGCGUGCUUCCCCUCUCCACACUGGCCGGGUUGCAGACAUCCUGAUGGUCGUAACUGGGGCCACAAGGAGGGACCGCUCAGCCCCAAAUGUCAGUAGCGCUGGCUGAGGACCCUGCCCCACAGCUGCAAGGAGGGAGGCCGCCGGGCCCGCGUGGACCUCCUCGGGCACCGGCUUCGGCGCCCUUUGCUCCUGCCACUUCCACUGUCCCUUUUCCAUCUGUGUUUCCACCUUGCCUUCCUCAGGAUAUUAUUAUUGUUGGGCACCGGCGGGGCCACAGCAGAGGGCUGGUGUUUUACUGUGGACAUUACCUUUUUCGCCUUACCUAACCGCACCUGGAAAAUGAAGGGGAGCUAAAGCUGUGACGUAGAUAGUAUCCAUUUUACCGAUGGGAACACCGAGACUCAGAGAGGCUAUGUAACAUGUCCAGGGUCACACAGCUGUCGGGUUUCCAGCCCAGCUCCGAGCCUUGCGGUCUGGCACUCCCGCUGCCCCCCACAGGGCGGCAUCGGGCUGUGCAGACAAACCUAACACAGUCGGCACGCAGACGGUACCUUGCUUUCCUCAAGCAAGUCCAUUCCCCGCCUUGUGCUCUGAGGGGAUGUGGAAGCUUCGGGGUGAGACGGGCUGGUGCGUCUUCCGAGGUGCAGCGUGUUCAGCUUCUCAGAGUGAAGCUGUUUGUGUCUGGGAGCCUGAGAGAGACAGAGCAGCUGGGGGCGGAAAAAGCCACACGGCGGGGCCGGCGGUCCUUCUGCCUCUGCCACAGGUUCUGACACCAGAGCAAAACCACCAGAGAGAGAUUGGAAGGGGGUCGCCCUCCCUCUCCCUACUCAGAAAGGCUUCUUUGGGGCCCAUAGGCUCGUCUCUCUGUGCGAACACCUGCGAUGCCGUCCGCGCCAGGUGCAGUGUCCAUGUGGGUACAGCGCCGUGGUGGGCAGUGCCCCUGCUCUGGGUUAGCACUGGCACAAACGCACAUCAGUGUUCCUGGGCCUCUGUCUGCCGUGUCCCCUGUGUGAGCCGUAAGUCCUUGGGGGCCAAAGACGCUAGGUCGUGGGCUUGCCAUCAGCUUGACCAAGCCCAAGACAUUUGUCCCCUGUGGGCAGAGGAGAACUGCCCCAACCUCGCUCCGCUCUCCCCAGGGCCCUGCUGCUUGCCUCUUCGACUGCCCCAGACCCAGGCGGCCUCACCCACUGAUGCCCUUUCCCGCGGGGCUUAGGUCUCAUUUGCCGCUAGAUUGUAUAGAGUCUGCAGCCUAAUUCCCCCUGAUGCUUUUUUUUUUUUAAUAAAUCUAUUUAUUUAUUUUUGGCUGCGUUGGAUCUUCAUUGCUGCAUGCGGGUUUCCUCUGGUUGUUUUCUCUGGAUGACUGCCUGUUUUCCUGAACCCAGGUGCUCCCGCUGAAGCCCGGUUAAAACUUUUUGAUCGUGAGGGAGCUCUGGAAGCUUCCCUCUUAUGGGUCAACGGCUCCAAAGGGCAGAAGUGGCAGAAUCGUCUCGAGCACUUCCUGUGAUUUCUAGGGAACAAGGGCCCCUCCACCAGACUUCCUCCCUCCAGGCAUCUUCCCUGAGCUCCACUUGAUAAAGGUAAGGCCAGGGGCCUUGGGCAUCAGAUGGAGUUCCCUUCUAGUUACCAAAUGUUUCCUGAGCACUUACUCUGAGACUGACGUUGCUGGACCCAAAGGAAUACAGACACGACCUAGUCCGGGGUGAGCUGGAAACCCCUGGAGGACACUUCUGUCCUGUGUCUCCCAUCUCCCCGCAACCUCAGAGAACAUGGCAAAAGAAAUCAUUGCAUUGACUGAUGAAUGUAUUUCAAAGGUGGUGGUGGAAUUUCUUUCUCAUAUUUAGGAAAACUGGAUCAACUGUACUUCAAUAAAAUA